rnacentral:rRNA from 1 species
AUGGAGCCGACCUUGAAAUACCACCCUUUAAUGUUUGAUGUUCUAACGUUGACCCGUAAUCCGGGUUGCGGACAGUGUCUGGUGGGUAGUUUGACUGGGGCGGUCUCCUCCUAAAGAGUAACGGAGGAGCACGAAGGUUGGCUAAUCCUGGUCGGACAUCAGGAGGUUAGUGCAAUGGCAUAAGCCAGCUUGACUGCGAGCGUGACGGCGCGAGCAGGUGCGAAAGCAGGUCAUAGUGAUCCGGUGGUUCUGAAUGGAAGGGCCAUCGCUCAACGGAUAAAAGGUACUCCGGGGAUAACAGGCUGAUACCGCCCAAGAGUUCAUAUCGACGGCGGUGUUUGGCACCUCGAUGUCGGCUCAUCACAUCCUGGGGCUGAAGUAGGUCCCAAGGGUAUGGCUGUUCGCCAUUUAAAGUGGUACGCGAGCUGGGUUUAGAACGUCGUGAGACAGUUCGGUCCCUAUCUGCCGUG